AUAGUCUAGCUCUAGCUCAGGAAACUGGGGAGUGGUGGCUGGUGGGGAAAGAUUGCUUGAGCCCAGGAGGGCAAGACUGCAGAGAGCUGUGAUCACGCCACUGCACUCCAACCUAGGUGACAGAGAAAAACCCUGUUUCAAAAAAAAAAGCCGGACUCUUAGUUAAUUCUUUUCUGGAUCAGAGAAAAGACCUGUAAUGGAAAGGGAUUCUCUACAGAAUGUAUUUUCCCCACAAGAGGUAGCAUUGCAGGGCCAUUUCAAAAUCUAUCAAGGAAAUUUAUUUUGGGGUAAAAUACUUCUUUCAGGGCCUGCUAUCUGUCAUGUUGGUAUCUUAUUGCUACAAAGAGUCUAUUUUAUCAGGCUGAAGGGCUGCUUUAAUGUUAAUGCUGGUCAGCUGUACCAGAUUACAAAAGGAGGUGAGAAUAAUGAGGCAUGUCUGACUACCCAUUCCCAUUGUGGCCUGAACUAGUGUUUCUGUUUUUCUUUAGAAUGCCCUUGGCUGAGAAGAGGAGUCCAUUCAGUUAGUUGGGGGGCUUAGGAUUAUGUUUUUUGUUUAUACAACUCAAAUACCUAAGACAAACACCAAAUAACCAAUCAACACUUUUCAGAAAAAUGAAACAAAAUCUAGAGUCUACACAACAUAACAGUGUUCUGGACACAAUCCAAAAUUACUCAGCAUGUAAAGAAACAGGAAAACAUGACCCAUCCUCAAGAGAAAAGACAAGCAACUGCCUGUGAGAGGAGCCACAUGUUGGAAUUUGUAAGUAUGUAUGGAAAUGUAACUAUUAUAUCUGUUCUCAAGGAAACAAAGGAAACUAUAUUCAUAAUGAAUGGAGAGAUAGAAAAUCUCAGCAGAGAAAAAAAAUUACAUAAAAGACUCAAAAGAAAUUAGAAAUCAAUAACAAGUUAUGAAGAAAAACUUCAACAAUUGGAAAUAAUAAAAAACUCUGGGCGCUUGUGACGUCAUGGCGCCGUGCGUGGCCACGGCUGCGGCGCAGGGGGCGGGCUCGCGCGAGGCGCCGGAGGAGGAAGCGGUGAGAUUGUUGCUCCCUCUGCGCCCACCGCUGGUUCUUGGGGUGCAGAGAGAGGCCGAAGUCUCCGUGGCUGCGUGGCGUUCCCCUGCAGUGCCGUCCAUAUUCGCUGGCACCACCGCUCCCCUUCUAAGGCCGCCGCUUGCCCUGGGGUCUAUGGAAGUAAUGGAAGGACCCCUCAACCUGGCUCAUCAACAGAGCAGACGAGCAGAUCGUCUAUUAGCUGCAGGCAAAUAUGAAGAGGCUAUUUCUUGUCACAAAAAGGCUGCGGCAUAUCUUUCUGAAGCCUUGAAGCUAACACAAUCUGAGCAGGCUCAUCUUUCACUGGAAUUGCAAAGGGAUAGCCACAUGAAACAGCUCCUCCUUAUCCAAGAGAGAUGGAAAAGGGCCCAGCGUGAAGAAAGAUUGAAAGCCUAGCAGAACACAGACAAGGAUGUAGCUGUCCAUCUUCAGGCAUCUCACAAAUCCUCUGCUGAGGAUCCAGAGGGCCAGAGCCCCCUUUCUCAGAAGCACAGCACUUCCGCAGAGAAACACGUGCCUGAGAUUCAGGGGAUCCAGACACACUACUAUAUUUGCUUCAGCAAUAGAGUGAGCCAGCAGAGCCAUGUAUUGGAGGCAAAGCCCCAAAAGAUGAUAAAACAAUUAUAGAGGAGUAGGCAAUCAAAACUGCAGAUUUGAAGAGGCAUGUGGAAUUCGUUGUGGCUGAGAAGACAAGAUUAAGGAACGAAAAUAAACGACUAGAGGUUGAAAAGGCCAGAUUUCUAAAAGACUCGACUUCUAAAACGCUCAAUAGAAAAGGAGCUGGAUGUAGAUGCUGAUUUUGUUGAAACGUCGGAGUUACGGAGCUUGCUGCCACAUUCAGAAACUGCUACAGUCUCCUCAACCUGGCAGAAUUCUGCAGCAAAUACCGGGAACAGCAAAGACAUUUCAAUCCCCAGUCUUUCUUCCUUGGAUUUUACAUCUGCAGAACUUCCCCUUAUGGAGCUCCCUGAGGAAAUUAUGAAAGGAUUUAUCAGUAAUUAAAAUGGAAGGCCACAAAAGGGGGGAGAAGAGAAAAUAAUACAGUCAUAGUUAAUCCAGCAAAAAAAAAAAAAAAAAAAGGAAAAUCACGUAGAAAGUGCAUCCCGGAAAUGCGUCAUCAUCUGGCAGACUGGGAGAAGACGCAUUACCAGGACUUGGGAAACAGUCACUGUGAAAUGUGUUGAGUAUCUGAUUCACUGACUUGAACUAAUGAUUCCAACUUGGCAGACACUAAACUCAGGGAGGUUCAGUUUGUCCUGAUACAAACCAAAUGGCUACCUGGAAUAAUUUUUUUCAAGCAACAGUUAUUUUUCUUAUCUUUAGGGUUAAAUGCAUAAAAGUAUGUUAUGCAUAAUCUAUAAUGCCAUAAAUGAUAAUGCAAAACCUAAAUAAUAUGGUGGCCCAAGGGUCUGCCUCGUAUUUGAAACAUGCUUUCUGUCGUGUAUUGACUGUAUGCAUUUUGUUAAUGCACGUUUUGUUUGUUUAAAUAAGGUGUGCAAAAUACAGACCUUUCUACAUGAAACUAUAUGUGCCACACUUUGCACUACCAUAAUGAUAACCUCAGGACUAUCAGGUGAAAUAUUUAAAUUUCGAUUUUAUGAAGAAAGGAACCAAAUUAUUAGUUAUGCUUUUUAAAACAAAUUACCAGUUUACAUAAUCAGGGUGCAUUUUAAGUUCUAACCUUGUUUAUUGUGUAAUGCAUCAUUCGAAAAUACUAAGGAGGAAAUGUCCUUUGUUUUUAAGGAUGUGUGAGUGGAAGUAAUGCUAGUUGGCAGUGUUUGAUUGUAAGAAAUCAAUAAAGUAAUUGUGUUUUAUUAAAAAAAAACCCAACUGGCAUACUUCUAAAGAAUCUAUGAGUCAAAGAAGAACUCAAAGGCAAAGUAUAAAAUAUUUUGAACUGAUAAUAAUGAAA